rnacentral:rRNA from 1 species
AGCGAACGCUGGCGGCAGGCCUAACACAUGCAAGUCGAACUGAUUCUUCGGUUUUAGUGGCGGACGGGUGAGUAACACGUGGGAUCGUGCCUUUUGGUUUUGAACCACUCCUGGAAACUUCAUCUAAUACCGGAUGCUCCUUUCGGGGAUAAGAUUUAUCGCCCUUGGUGCGGUCCGCGUCUGAUUAGCUGGUUGGUGAGGUAACGGCCAACCAUGGCCACGAUCAGUAGCUGGUGUGAGAGAAUGAUCAGCCGCACUGGGACAGAGACACGGCCCAGACUCGUACGGGAGGAGGCAGUAGGGAAUCAUGAGGAAUGGGCGAAAGGAUGACGCAGCCAUGCCGGGUGAAUGAUGAAGGUCUUAGGAUAGUAAGAUUCUUUCAGCGGGGAAGAUAAUGACGGUACCCGCAGAAGAAGCUACGGCUAAAUUCGUG